GUCACUCGUGGAAAGUCACUUUCUUGUGGUGAGGGACAUUAGUAAGCUGGAUUACAUGGUCUAGCUGAAGCUGAGAACUUUC
rnacentral:ribozyme from 1 species